UGAAAGAUGCAGAAAUUGAGCGUCUGCACAGCCAGCUCUCCCGGACGGCAGCUCUCCACGGUGACCACACAGAGAGAGACCAAGAAAUUCAACGUCUGAAAAUGGGGAUGGAAACUUUGCUGCUUGCCAAUGAAGAUAAGGACCGUCGGAUAGAGGAGCUUACGGGGCUGUUAAACCAGUACCGGAAGGUAAAGGAGACUGUCAUGGUCACUCAAGGGCCUUCGGAGAGAACUCUCUCAAUCAAUGAAGAAGAACCGGAGGGAGGCUUCAGAAAGUGGAACACUACAAAUAAGGGCCCUGAAGAAUUAUUUAAACAAGAGGUACUGUGUUUCCAACCAUGAUGUAGGGUUUCAGCAGGUCCUCCGAGCUUGCCCUGAGCUUGAGGGAGGAUCUAGUCAGACACGUGUCAGGUACAUAUCUUGGCAGGUGAAUACUUAAAUUAAUAAAGUGCCCCUCAGGCUGUGAUGGGGAUAGGGGAGCAAGAGGCUGAGGCUCUGGCCUGUGCUCUGGUUGGAGACAGCAUGGUGGAUACUGG
rnacentral:sRNA from 1 species